rnacentral:rRNA from 1 species
UACGUAGGGGUCGAGCGUUGUCCGGAGUUACUGGGCGUAAAGCGUCCGCAGGUGGCUAUGUAAGUCUGCUGUUAAAGAGCAAGGCUCAACCUUGUAAGGGCAGUGGAAACUACAUGGCUAGAGUGCGUUCGGGGCAGAGGGAAUUCCUGGUGUAGCGGUGAAAUGCGCAGAUAUCAGGAAGAACACCCGUGGCGAAGGCGGCUCUCUGGGACGGUACUGACGCUGAGACGCGAAAGCGUGGGGAGCGAACAGG